GGACUACUGGGGUAUCUAAUCCGUUUUGCUCCCCAUACUUUCGUACCUCAGCGUCAGUAUUUAGUUAGAAAAAAGCCUUCGCCUUAAGCGGUCUUCCGAGUAUCAACAGAUUCCAUCCCUACUCUCGGAGUUCCUUUUUCCCCCAUUAUACUCUAGUCUCAUAGUUACUGAAUAACUCUUGCUCAUUUCGUUUGAUAUUAUUCAGUCUUAUGAAACUGCCUACGUACCCUUUAGACCCAUUCAUGAUGAAUAAUGCUUACCCCUCUCGUAUUACCGCGGCUGCUGGCAC
rnacentral:rRNA from 1 species